AGAGCGAACGCUGGCGGCAGGCCUAACACAUGCAAGUCGAGCGCCCGUAGCAAUACGGGAGCGGCAGACGGGAUAGUAACACGUGGGAACGCGCCCUUCGGUUCGGAAUAACUCAGGGAAACUUGAGCUAAUACCGAAUACGCCCUUACGGGGAAAGAUUUAUUGCCGAAGGAACGGCCCGCGUCCGAUUAGCUAGUUGGUGAGGUAAUGGCUCACCAAGGCUACGAUCGGUAGCUGGUCUGAGAGGAUGACCAGCAUCACUGGGACUGAGACACGGCCCAGACUCCUACGGGAGGCAGCAGUGGGGAAUAUUGGACAAUGGGCGCAAGCCUGAUCCAGCCAUGCCGCGUGGAUGAUGAAGGCCUUAGGGUUGUAAAGUCCUUUUAACGGGGAAGAUAAUGACGGUACCCGUAGAAUAAGCCCGGACUAACUUCGUGCCAGCAGCCGC
rnacentral:rRNA from 1 species